rnacentral:rRNA from 1 species
AGCGUAGGCGGUCUUGCAAGUCUGAAGUGAAAAACCCUGGGCUCAACCCUGGGAUUGCUUUGGAAACUGUAGGACUGGAGUGUCGGAGGGGCGAUGUGGAAUUCCUGGUGUAGCGGUGAAAUGCGUAGAUAUCAGGAGGAACACCAGUGGCGAAGGCGGCAUGCUGGACGAUAACUGACGCUGAUGCUGAAAGCUGGGGGGCAAACA